rnacentral:rRNA from 1 species
CAGUAGCCGCGGUAAUACGUAGGUGGCAAGCGUUGUCCGGAAUUAUUGGGCGUAAAGGGCUCGCAGGCGGUUUCUUAAGUCUGAUGUGAAAGCCCCCGGCUCAACCGGGGAGGGUCAUUGGAAACUGGGAAACUUGAGUGCAGAAGAGGAGAGUGGAAUUCCACGUGUAGCGGUGAAAUGCGUAGAGAUGUGGAGGAACACCAGUGGCGAAGGCGACUCCCUGGUCUGUAACUGACGCUGAGGAGCGAAAGCGUGGGGAGCGAACAGGAUUAGAUACCCCAGUAGUCCCUGUCUCUUAUAC